GGAAGGGGAAAGGAAGGGCUGGGUUUGCCCAAGGUCGCCUGUCAGCCCAGAGCCCGCCCAGCCAGGGACAGGGGAGAGGGAAGAGGACAAACCUACCUGCAGGAAACGCCGCCUCCAAGACCCGCCCCGAGGUCGCAGCCCAGGGAAUAAGGCUGCCGGAGCAGAUGGAUCCUGCCUCUGUUUCUACUUUCCUGCCUACCGGAGUGGAAGCAGAAGCCAGCGCGCAGUCCCCUCCGUCUGGCUGGCGGGAGACAGGCGGAAAGGGCUGCGGAGCCCCCCGGCCGGCCGGCUGAGCGCACUGCCUCUCCAGGACCUGCGAAAGGAAAGCCCUUUAUAAUCCGGAUCAAAAAUCAGGGAACGCUGGGGUUAAAACAAAGGUUUUCAAAAUGUAGGCGCAUCGGUGCCUCCAGCACCGACUCGAGAAAAUGAGCACGAUCCACUCGGGUUUUUGACUUUUUGCCCCCUAUUUUGCUGUCAAAACAGGCAGCGCGUCCGAAUCGCAAGCGGCGGUGUAAAUGGCACUGACCACAGCGGGGAUGCUGCCUCCCCUCGCUCGCGCCGAGCUCCGGCUUGACGCAGCCAUUUCGCCCUUUGCCGGGGAGGAGGAGAGGGAAGGGGUGACACAACACGGCUGGCGCGAGCUAGCAGGUCCCGCGUCAACGCGCCCCCGUUUCAGGGGGAUGUUGCAGUGGGUAAAGGGGAGGACCUGAGUGCGGCAGAUGGGGACACAUGGGCUGCCGACCCGACAGGGCGAGAACCUGUUCAAAUGCAGUAGCGGCCCCAAAAGAGGGAAAACGCAACAAAAAGCAUCAAGCUUCGCAAAUCCCCCCCCCCCCCCAUUUGCUCCUUCACCCCCGCAGCUUGGGGAUUCACCAUCCGGGGCUGCAAUGCGGGGAGGGCAAGGGAACGAGCCGCCCCUAUGGCUUGUUUCUACAUCGAACGGGAAAAGAAGGGGGAUGUUUAAACAGAAUAAAGCCCGACACAGCACGAGGGGCUGACCCCAGCCACGAGAUCCUCACGCCCACCCUGCGGCGAAGUCCAACACCAGAGCCAGCCUCCCCGCGUGCCCGGCGGCCGUUAAGACUGGAACAUGCAGCUGAGCUUAUCCGCAUCUCCCCGCUUCUCUCAUGUGGCUCACACAAGGCCCCGCUGAACGCCCGCAACGAGUGCCGAAAACCCGCCGAGGCCAAGCAGUAA
rnacentral:lncRNA from 1 species